GCCUAUCAGGUAGUAGUGGGUGUAGCGUACCUACUAGCCUACGACGGGUACGGGUUGUGAGAGCAGGAGCCCGGAGAUGGAUUCUGAGACACGAAUCCAGGCCCUACGGGGUGCAGCAGGCGCGAAAACUUUACAAUGCUGGAAACAGCGAUAAGGGGACCUCGAGUGCCAGGUUACAAAUCUGGCUGUCGUGAUGCCUAAAAAGCAUUGCAUAGCGAGGGCCGGGCAAGACCGGUGCCAGCCGCCGCGGUAACACCGGCGGCUCGAGUGGUAACCGUUAUUAUUGGGUCUAAAGGGUCUGUAGCCGGCCGGAUAAGUCUCUUGGGAAAUCUGGCAGCUUAACUGUCAGGCUUUCAGGAGAUACUGUCUGGCUCGAGGCCGGGAGAGGUGAGAGGUACUUCAGGGGUGGGGGGUGAAAUCUUGUAAUCCUUGAUGGACCACCAGUGGCGAAGGCGUCUCACCAGAACGGACCUGACGGCAAGGGACGAAAGCUAGGGGCACGAACCGGAUUAGAUACCCGGGUAGUCCUAGCCGUAAACGAUACACGCUAGGUGUCGGCAACGGUGCGACCGUUGUCGGUGCCGUAGGGAAGCCGUGAAGCGAGCCACCUGGGAAGUACGGCCGCAAGGCUGAAACUUAAAGGAAUUGGCGGGGGAGCAC
rnacentral:rRNA from 1 species